UCCCUGGUGGCUCAGAUGGUAAAGAAUCCACCUGCAAUGUGGGAGACCUGGGUUCGAUCCCUAGGUUGGGAA
rnacentral:tRNA from 1 species